CGGUUAGCGGUGUGCCUAUGCAUGCAAGUCGAACGUGAUCCCUUAGAUUCGUCUGAGGGUGAAAGUGGCGAACGGGUGAGUAACACGUUGGUGACCUGCCCCAGAGAUAGGGAUAACCAUUGGAAACGAUGGCUAAUACCUUAGAUGUCAUUACUAUUAGAAGGUAAUGACUAAAGCUCCGGCGCUCUGGGAGGGGCCUGCGUACCAUCAGCUAGUUGGUGAGGUAAUGGCUCACCAAGGCAAGGACGGUUAGGGGGCGUGAGAGCGUGACCCCCCACACUGGUACUGAUACACGGACCAGAUACCUACGGGUAGCAGCAGCAAGGAAUAUUGCGCAAUGGACGAAAGUCUGACGCAGCAACACCGCGUGGAGGAUGAAGGCCUUCGGGUCGUAAACUCCUUUUCUGAGGGAAGAGAAAGGACGGUACCUCAGGAAUAAGUCUCGGCUAACUACGUGCCAGCAGCCGCGGUAAAACGUAGGAGGCGAACGUUAUCCGGAUUUACUGGGCGUAAAGCGCAUGCAGGCGGUUUCUUAAGUCGGAUGUGAGAGCUCCUGGCUCAACUGGGAGAGGUCAUUCGAAACUGGGGAACUUGAGGAUGGUAGAGGAGAGUGGAAUUCCCGGUGUAGUGGUGAAAUGCGUAGAUAUCGGGAGGAACGCCAGUGGCGAAGCGGCUCUCUGGGCUAUUCCUGA
rnacentral:rRNA from 1 species